rnacentral:rRNA from 1 species
UACGUAGGGCGCGAGCGUUGUCCGGAAUUAUUGGGCGUAAAGAGCUUGUAGGCGGUUUGUCGCGUCUGCUGUGAAAAUCCGGGGCUCAACCCCGGACUUGCAGUGGGUACGGGCAGACUAGAGGUCGGUAGGGGAGUGUGGAAUUCCUGGUGGAGCGGUGAAAUGCGCAGAUAUCAGGAGGAACACCCGUAGCGAAGGCGGCACUCUGGGCCGAUACUGACACUGAGGAGCGAAAGCGUGGGGAGCGAACAGG